rnacentral:lncRNA from 1 species
UCAGAACACUAUCAUUGCACAGAUAUUUAGACCUGUUGUGACAUAUAUUGCAUUAUUUUAUGGCUGCUUAUGACACCAACAUAAGAGUGUAAAAACCCACAAAACCUACCAUGGUAGUUAUUUUAUGGCUGGUUAUGACACCUACAUAAGAGUGUCAAUACCUACACAAGGCAAAACAUUCCAUUACACCAUAGCCUGCGGGUCAACAGUGGGUUUAUGUUAAACUAUUUAUUUAUUUAUUUAUUUGCCAUGUUAAAUUAUCAUUGUAAUUGUGCACACAUUGACGUCAGACAUGCACCUACCCCAAUGGUCUGUUGCUGCUGUCUGGGAUGAAUGCAGAAGCAGAUUUCAGGAGCAGGACAAGACACCAUGGUCAAUUAAACAUGAAAAGAAAGGGAGCGCUAUCAGAUUUCUUUUUAAAGAAGCACAACAGGCAGAUCAGGUGCAAACAGACCCCAGCCCUUGCAUCACCACCGGACCCCAGAGCAGCUCCCCACCUGAGGCUAGUCAGAGUCAGUGUGGUCAGACUUCACAAGGACCCAGUCUACCACCACCAGGCCAGAGCAUCUACCAGGCAGGAUGACACAGAGACCUCUGGCUCUGAGCAAGACAGUGAGCCAGAGCUGCCAGGAGAUGUCAUCGAGCCCCUCCCAACUCCAUCAAGCACCAGAUAUGCUGUUCCAAAAGGACCCAAUGGUAGGCCAGUCCUAUACUUUAAACUACAAACUUUAGUUAGCA